UGCGUAACGCGUGAGCAACCUACCUCUAUCACGGGGAUAGCCUCUCGAAAGAGAGAUUAACACCGCACAGUAUAAUGUACCGGCAUCGGGAAAUUAUUAAAUAUUUAUAGGAUAGAGAUGGGCUCGCGUGACAUUAACUAGUUGGUAGGGUAACGGCUUACCAAGGCGACGAUCUCUAGGGGCUCUGAGAGGAGAAUCCCCCACACUGGUACUGAGACACGGACCAGACUCCUACGGGAGGCAGCAGUAAGGAAUAUUGGUCAAUGGGCGGAAGCCUGAACCAGCCAUGCCGCGUGCAGGAUGACUGCCCUAUGGGUUGUAAACUGCUUUUGUCCAGGAAUAAACCUAGAUACGUGUAUUUAGCUGAAUGUACUGGAAGAAUAAGGAUCGGCUAACUCCGUGCCAGCAGCCGC
rnacentral:rRNA from 1 species